rnacentral:misc_RNA from 1 species
AUGGCUUUAGUUAUAUUUGUGAGUUAUUUAAUUUUAAUUAUUUGUGUUCUUGUGGGUGUUGCAUUUGUUACUUUGUUAGAACGUAAAAUUUUAGGAUAUAUUCAAAUUCGUAAAGGACCAAAUAAAGUUGGUUUUAUUGGAUUGCUACAACCCUUUGCGGAUGCUGUGAAGUUAUUUACUAAAGAGCAGACAGUACCUGUAAAAUCUAAUUUUCUUCCAUAUUAUGCUUCACCUGUUUUUAGUUUGUUUACUGCAUUAAUUGUAUGGUUAGUAAUUCCUUAUGAAAUUGGAAUAAUAAAUUUAAAUAUAGGAGUACUUUUUUUCUUGUGUUGUUUAGGAUUAGGUGUUUAUUCAACUAUAAGAGCUGGUUGGGCUUCUAAUUGUAAAUAUUCUUUGUUAGGUAGGCUUCGGGCUGUUGCUCAGACUAUUUCUUAUGAAGUUAGUCUUGCUUUAAUUUUGCUUUCUUUUAUUUUUUUAGUGGGAGGUUUUAGUUUAGAACUUUUUAAUUUAUACCAAGAAAGUGUAUGAUUUUUGUGGGUCACGUUGCCGUUAGCUUUAAUUUGGUUUGCUUCUUGUUUAGCUGAGACAAACCGAACUCCUUUCGAUUUUGCGGAAGGCGAAUCUGAGUUAGUGUCUGGGUUUAAUACCGAGUACAGAAGAGGUGGUUUUGCUUUAAUUUUUAUGGCUGAGUAUGCUAGAAUUUUGUUUAUAAGAGCGCUGUUUGCAUUAUUAUUUUUAGGUGGAGGUCCUUCUAGCCCCCUUUUUUAUGCAAAGCUGGUAGGAGUAAGAUUUGCAUUUAUUUGAGUUCGAGGAACUCUUCCUCGUCUUCGUUACGAUAAAUUAAUAGGGUUAGCUUGAAAAAGAUUUUUACCAGUUUCUCUUAAUUAUUUAAUUUUUUUCAUGGGUAUAAAAAUACUAUGUUAUUGUUCUAUAAUUUAG